rnacentral:snoRNA from 1 species
GGCCUCCUGGUGUUUGCCACACUAUAUGUUUACACUGACUGUACAGAAAGAGGAGGCAGGUUACUUUACUCCCUGUACACCUCAGUCCAGGCCUGAUCUGUACUGUGAAUGGAAACACAUUC